AUAUAGUGGACAACCUGUAUAGUACAUUCAUUAUUUUUCAAGUGUUGCAGCGCUCUUGUGUCUUUGGUAUGGGAGCUAGCAGCUGUGCUCGCCAGGUGUUUGACGACAUUCCACAUUUCCAUGGGGCAGGAGAAAGGAUAACUAACGUAUUAUGGAACCAGGGAUCUCAAGUUUUACCAUUGGCACUGCAGAGCUUUAUUAGUGAGGGCUUUGCUGUGGAUAUAUAUCCAGGUAUAUCAUCUAUGAAUUCAGAAGAUAAAUUAGUACUAUUAUGUAAAAAUCAUAUAUGAUUUUCAGUACAUAAGUGUUAAGACACAGUGGGCCAUGACAUGAUAGA